CAUUACGUCUUUCUAGCUUUAACAGUGGCGUCUCUACUAUUUAGAACUAUACGUAGAUUAUUACAAAAAUGCGUAUAUUUUGUUAUUAGAUAGCGUUUUCGAUUGUGAAAUUAGAAUUACACACACAUUCGAAACCGCUAUAAAUGUUUUAAAAAUUGUGGAUGUUAUGGCUAAUAUCUGUACCAAUAAAACAGCUAUUAUAGGUAGUUAAUACCUGAAAUUUGAAUAUCAAAAUUGCUAUCGCUAUUUUUCAAAAUUAAUAGGAAAAUAUAAAUAAAAUAAAAUCCAGAUUUUCAAUAUUUCAUUGUUACCGCCAGCCAUACGCGCAGACGCGAGCAAAAGGUAUAUUCUAACCUCAAAUUUUGUCAAAAAAUAAAUAAUGAAGUGAUCUCAAACAUUUAGCCGAGUAUCCGUACUUAAACAGUUAAUACAUUAUUUGUAGAAUAUCAAUCAAAUUUACAUCAAUAACUUUAAGAUUGGCGGCGUACAUAAAAGGUACCAUCACCAUUUUUACAAUUACUUCAGACCAGAGCUUCAGACUUUAGCUAUUGUGUAAUUCUUCCCCUAAUGUUGAAAGAAAACUGUUUUUACGAUCUACAUGGUAUAUUUGAGCUCUAGUUAUUAUUAGCAGGUUUUAGAUAUUAACCGUAACAUAUAUUAUAGCUUUACUGUAAAUACUGAGCGUAGACAGCGAAGCAUUUCACUCUAGAAUUUGGAAAAUCAAUCAAAAGUGUGCAAUCAAAUUUGUUCUGAUAAGUUUGAUAAGAGCGAUAUUAUGAUCACCGAAUAAACUGGUUGAAGGCAAAUAAGACCAAAUGCUGAGCCUCAAAUAGAUACUACCAUUUUUGCUGGGGCCUUAUCAUGCAGCAUAGUAAGAUAAUUCUCAUUUUCUGAUCUUUCAAUAGUUGGAUAUUUAUUGGCUCAAGAAGUCCUAUCAGAAAAAGAAAGAAGUAUGUUAAUGAGGUAUAAUAAUGAUAUUAUGUAGAAAUUUAAGUCUCAUAAAAAUUUGGGAACAAAGAAAAUGAAAAAUAUAUACUUUACAAAUGGGUCUAAGAAGAUUGAAAAAUAAAAUAACAUCAAUGCAUCAAUUAAUUGAUUACUUAAAAGAAAAAUCUUUGAUAAGUGAAUCAUCUGAAUUGACCAUAAGGGUAUAAAUAUAGGCUUCCCUAGCUGGGCCAGCACAAAGUAUUUUUGAAAGAAUGUUAAAAGGACCUGCCACACAAAAAUCCAAUCCUCUGCUACUAUCCUUUGCUUUAACAUUGUAAUUUUAUUCACCGAAAACAUAGAAUUUUAUAAAGGAUACAUAAACUGGCCCAAUAUUUUUGAUAUUUUUAACUCUCAGAAUGGAUUUACAAAAUAUUCAUAUAAAAAAUUAUCAAAAUAUAAGAACAACAUACUUUUUAGUAAUUUUGAAAUAAUUUAAUUGUAUAUUAUUGGACUUACUUUAAAAGAAAGGCCAA
rnacentral:lncRNA from 1 species